UACAGAGGUCCCAAGCGUUGUUCGGAUUCACUGGGCGUAAAGGGUGCGUAGGCGGUCGGGCAAGUCUGAUGUGAAAUCUCACAGCUUAACUGUGAAACUGCAUUGGAUACUAUCCGGCUCGAGGAAUGGAGGGGAGACUGGAAUACUUGGUGUAGCAGUGAAAUGCGUAGAUAUCAAGUGGAACACCAGUGGCGAAGGCGAGUCUCUGGACAUCUCCUGACGCUGAGGCACGAAAGCCAGGGGAGCAAACGGG
rnacentral:rRNA from 1 species